rnacentral:rRNA from 1 species
AGUGAACGCUGGCGGCAGGCCUAAUACAUGCAAGUCGAACGGCAGCACAGCAGAGCUUGCUCUGUGGGUGGCGAGUGGCGGACGGGUGAGGAAUACAUGGGAAUCUGCCCAGUCGUGGGGGAUAACGUAUGGAAACGUACGCUAAUACCGCAUGCGCCCUACGGGGGAAAGCCGGGGACCGCAAGGCCUGGCGCGAUUGGAUGAGCCCAUGUUCGAUUAGCUAGUUGGCGGGGUAAAGGCCCACCAAGGCGACGAUCGAUAGCUGGUCUGAGAGGAUGAUCAGCCACACUGGAACUGAGACACGGUCCAGACUCCUACGGGAGGCAGCAGUAGGGAAUAUUGGACAAUGGGGGCAACCCUGAUCCAGCCAUGCCGCGUGAGUGAAGAAGGCCCUCGGGUUGUAAAGCUCUUUUGUCCGGAAAGAAAGCAAUCGGUUAA